rnacentral:rRNA from 1 species
AUUGCAUAUCAAUAAGCGGAGGAAAAGAAACUAACAAGGAUUCCCCUAGUAGCGGCGAGCGAAGCGGGAAGAGCUCAAAUUUAUAAUCUGGCACUUUCAGUGUCCGAGUUGUAAUCUCUAGAAGUGUUUUCCGCGUUGGACCGCACACAAGUCUGUUGGAAUACAGCGGCACAGUGGUGACACCCCCGUACACGGUGCGGACGCCCAGCGCUUUGUGAUACACUUUCGAAGAGUCGAGUUGUUUGGGAAUGCAGCUCAAAUUGGGUGGUAAAUUCCAUCUAAAGCUAAAUAUUGGCGAGAGACCGAUAGCGAACAAGUACCGUGAGGGAAAGAUGAAAAGCACUUUGGAAAGAGAGUUAACAGUACGUGAAAUUGUUGGAAGGGAAACGCUUGAAGUCAGACUUGCUUGCCGGAGCUUGCUUCGGUUUGCAGGCCAGCAUCAGUUUUCCGGGGUGGAUAAUGGCGGUUAGAAGGUAGCAGCUUCAGCUGUGUUAUAGCUUUCCGCUGGAUACAUCCUGGGGGACUGAGGAACGCAGCGUGCUUUUAGCGGGGGUUUCGACCUCUUCACGCUUAGGAUGCUGGUGUAAUGGCUUUAAACGACCCGUCUUGAAACACGGACCAAU